rnacentral:rRNA from 1 species
UACGGGGGGGGCAAGCGUUGUCCGGAAUUAUUGGGCGUAAAGGGCUCGUAGGCGGUUUGUCACGUCGGGAGUGAAAACUCAGGGCUCAACCCUGAGCGUGCUUCCGAUACGGGCAGACUAGAGGUAUGCAGGGGAGAACGGAAUUCCUGGUGUAGCGGUGGAAUGCGCAGAUAUCAGGAGGAACACCGGUGGCGAAGGCGGUUCUCUGGGCAUUACCUGACGCUGAGGAGCGAAAGCAUGGGGGAGCGAACAGG